AAUGAUCUGGAGUGUGUUUGCAUAUUGAUCAGAUGCUUCAGUGCUCUGAGAGUGUUUAUAGUGCUGUGAGUUUAACACUUCAUCACUGACACACACAACAAUCUUCAUCAACAUGACCUUCAUCAUCAUCUUCAUCUGGACUCUCACAGCGUUUGCUCAAGAGUGUAGAGGACAGAUCACUGUCACUCAGAGUCCCUCAAUGACAGCAGCUCAACCAGGAGAAACAGUCAAAAUCAAUUGUAAAACCAGCACAAAUGUGCGCAGAUGGAAUGAUGGCGAUGAAGGUUUAGCCUGGUACUUACAGAAACCUGGAGAAUCUCCUAAACUCCUGAUUUAUUAUGUAAAAAAGCUUGAGUCAGGAACUCCAUCUAGAUUCAGUGGCAGUGGAUCUGGGACUGAUUUCACUCUGACCAUCAGUGGAGUCCAGACUGAAGAUGCUGGACAUUAUUACUGUCAGAGUUACUACUGCAGAACAAAUUCUCAAAAUAAAUGUGAGGGUGAUGUUGUGUUCACACAGUGAUAAAGAGUCGUACAAAAA